AAUACCCAAUCCUGACACAGGGAGGUAGUGACAAGAAAUAACAAUACAGGGCUAAUGUCUUGUAAUUGGAAUGAUGGUGACCCAAACCCUCACCAGAGUAGCAAUUGGAGGGCAAGUCUGGUGCCAGCAGCCGCGGUAAUUCCAGCUCCAAUAGCGUAUAUUAAACUUGUUGCAGUUAAAAAGCUCGUAGUUGAAUUUUGGCGUGUUCGAGUUUGCCAUUCGUUUGGCUUUUUCGAGUUCGCUUUUGGGUUUUCCCUUUUUACUUUGAGAAAAUUAGAGUGUUUCAAGCAGACUUUUGUCUUGAAUACUUCAGCAUGGAAUAAUAGAGUAGGACUUUGGUUCUAUUUUGUUGGUUAUUGAACCUUAGUAAUGGUUAAUAGGAUCGGUUGGGGGCAUUCGUAUUUAA
rnacentral:rRNA from 1 species